AUCUAGCUGACGAGUCCCAAAUAAGACGAAAUACGUGUCGUGGAU
rnacentral:hammerhead_ribozyme from 1 species